AGGGCGGUGGCUCAAUUGGUAGAGCAGCGGUCUCCAAAACCGCAGGUUGCAGGUUCGAGUCCUGUCCGCCCUGCCA
rnacentral:tRNA from 4 species